rnacentral:rRNA from 1 species
AUUGAACGCUGGCGGCAGGCCUAACACAUGCAAGUCGGACGGUAGCACAGAGGAGCUUGCUCCUCGGGUGACGAGUGGCGGACGGGUGAGUAAUGUCUGGGAAACUGCCCGAUGGAGGGGGAUAACUACUGGAAACGGUAGCUAAUACCGCAUAACGUCGCAAGACCAAAGUGGGGGACCUUCGGGCCUCACACCAUCGGAUGUGCCCAGAUAGGGAUUAGCUGGUAGGCGGGGUAACGGCCCACCUAGGCGACGAUCCCUAGCUGGUCGACAAGGAGGACCAGCCACACUGGAACUGAGAGACGGUCCAGACUCCUACGGGAAGCAGCAGUGGGGAAUAUUGCAGAAUGGGCGCAAGCCUGAUGCAGCCAUGCCGCGUGUAUGAAGAAGGCCUUCGGGUUGUAAAGUACUUUCAGCGGGGAGGAAGGUGCUGAGGUUAAUAAGCUCAGCAAUUGACGUUACCCGCAGAAGAAGCACCGGCUAACUCCGUGCCAGCCGCCGCGGUAA